UCUCUUCAUCUAGUAGUCUUUCCCUAGUGAAAUAGCUGGAUAAGGCGCUUCCUUCUCUCUUUUUUCUGUGUGUUGCUGUAUGAAGAAGGAAGAUCUGAGACCGAGAGGUCACUUCCAGAUUCAAAGGAGGGAAGGGGCACUUGUAUUCGUCAUAAAGGUCAAGAAUGAAGUGGAAAAGUCUCAUAUUUUUGUGCAAGCGGCCUAUAGAGAGUUAAGGCAAAUACCCCAUCCCGGUCGAUCAUAGAGUGAAUUUCGAAUUCCGACUAAAUGGGGAAUUGUGUGAUGAGAGGGUGCAAUCAUCUUCUCUUUGUAUUCAUUUCUUUCAUUCAGCCUAUCACUCAUUUCACAUCGCACUAAAGCCUAAAUGGAAGAGGUCCGGCCAUGGGAUCGUCCAUCGUCCACAGUCGUAGAUAUUAGGUACUUUGAGCCGUUCUUAUCCUUAUAAUCAUAAGAAAGGGCUAUGGGUCCUCGUUCUUCAUUCAAAUCUAGCCUGGUUCUUGAAUGAAUGAGAUAAGGAGAUCUCCAAGGAAAAAAGCCUAACCUUUAGGUCAAGACAUAGAAAUCCAAGGAAAAUCAGUGAGAAGCCAGGGCCCUAGCCAUAUCGCAAUUUACGUGGAUGAGUUCGAAACUCAAGGCCUUAUUUCUGACUGAAAGCACUCCACUCCUCUCCGUCGAGUCAUUCCUCUCCCGUGUAGUGGGGAUCCGCAACUGAGAAUGACCUUUGUGAAAUGACCUGGCUUCUGGAAAGAUUACCUUGAUGGUGGAUCCUAGGGGUGGAGAUCUCAUCUUCUUCAACCUCUAAUUCCUUGUCUUCCUACCCACGGAUGAAAGAGAUCGGUCGAGGAUCUAGAGCCUAUCAGUAAAGGUUCACGCUUCAUUCUACUUCUUCUUCCGCACUACAAUGGCCCGAUCCACCAUCAGACUUAGGGGUAGGAAUUUCUGAAAGAGGGGGCGUACUAUUAGACUGAAAGGCGAAGAAGACUACACUGAACCAAGACCCUAAUUAAAGGAAAUAGCUGGAAGGGUGGGGUGUGAACCCCGUGACUGAUGCGCGAUCUCCCAUUUUUAGGGAUGAGCCUAUGAGAAGCCUUGCCUGGCAAGGUCCGAAAAUCUAGCAUGAGAGAGUGAUGUUUCCAGGCUAUCCUCGUAUGGAUAAGAAAAGUUCUGAUUCACUGCCCUUGGCCUCGCCCUACUCCCGAAAAGAGUGAUGAUUGAAUUCACUAACCUAAAGACCGAUCAUAAGACUUUGCAUAGUCAAGUGAUUAAUAGUUUCAUUAUUAAAAAACGUUGAGUAAUUAAUAGUUUAUCAUUCAAAAGCGUGGAUGAAAGAGACUAUUUACAAGGGAUUGAGAAGAGGAAAGAAGACUGAGAAAAGUCUUAACAUCAUACUCCAGCUCUUGAUGAUUGGCCGCUCUUAUCAACUACUUAUUAUAGAAAGAUAUUUGCACCCCUUUAUGAAAGGAAUUCUGACUUUCGUGGGAGUGCAAGGCUGAAUUCAAGAUUUUCAUGCUCUUUUUCUCUUUUAUCAAGACUACUCUAUCCUAUGCGAAAUUAAACUACCACAGAUCGGGAAUAGGAGUGCAAGUGCGGAGCAUCUUUAAUGAAUUGAAUAUCAGAGCUUGAAGAGCUUUAUAACUUCUUAUAUUUCAUUAAGAAUGAAGAGCAACGAUGAGGAAAUCCUAUUAGUAUUUCAAGGCCUAAGCAUAGACGAUAAAGACUAUAAAGCUUAGUACGCCUAAGCUCAGCUUGAUAAAGCCUUGAAAUCUUAUCCUCUUUCGUUCGCAGCGAGCCAAGAUUCAUAAAGGACUGAUUAUAUUAUUCUUCUAUAUUCUAUCUGAUUAUGAAAUAAUAAAGAGGAGCGGCUUGAAUCUUGGACUCCUUUCAAUCGCUUCUCAAAUUCUUUGAGCCUCUCAUUGAUAAGGACUUACGUCGGACUUGUGAAUUCCACUGAUUUGAAUAUGAAAGAUGGAUAUCUAUUGUUCUUGCUGUGUCGGAUGCUGAAUUAUAGACCGAUCGGGAAUGAAUGAAAGGCCGUCGACCUAACCUUUCACUAAAUUCAAGGCGGAGGAGGUUAUAAAAUAACUCGACUGAAAAUAGAGGAGAGGGGCGAAGCCACUCGACUGAGGUUAGGAAGGAGAGGGGCGAAGUGAAGUCCUUAUCCUCAAAUUCAAAGGAGUGAAUUAUGAAAUAACUCGACUCAAAAUAAAAGGUGAGAAGAAGGAUCGAAGAAUUUGAGGCGAAAGGACUGAAUGAAAAUAAAAGAAGGAGUGCAUUAUGAAAUAACUCGACUCAAAAUAGAGGUGAGAAGAAUGAUCGAAGAAUUUGAGGCGAAAGGACUGAAUGAUAAUAUAAGAAGGAGCUCUUAUAGUUAGAAAUAACUCGACUCAAAAUGAUAAGGGUCGAUGCGAAGAAAGUCGACUAAGAAGGAGAGGUGGAAAGAAUUUGCGAGAAGCUCAUUAAAUAAAAACUGAUCCUUAAAAAAGGCUUAAAGGAUCAAAGAAUUUGUGAAAUCCAUAUUAACUUGUCCUUCGGACCGACAAAGAAUAAGACUUAUUCUGAUUCUUAGAGAUUUUGAACAUAAGAGGAUUUCAUUCUUCUUCCUUUGAUAAUCUCCUCUUGCUAUCUAAGAUCUUGUCUUUGGGACUAUUUCGGAUGGGAAGGGAUGGCUAAAAAGCUGCAUCAAGGGAAAUCUCAGGCUUUGAAGCUGAAGCAACUAAAUCUGCUCAAUCAGCAAGUUCCAGCGGCCUUCCUCGAACAAAAGCGUGAAAAACGGAGGCAAAAGCUGUGGUAGCAGCCUCAAAAGUGAGAACUAAAGUAGAUGAUGCGUCGGGCACCACACGGAAAAGUUAGUAUUUUUGACAUCAUGAAAAGAGAGAAAAAAAAAAGAAAUUUGUAAACAAGAUAGCGAGGGGAACCUUCUUAUUUACUUCACUCUCCAGAUCGAAAGCAAGGAUUCUGAGAUGCGGGAUUACCAAUGUCACGAUUGGAAUCUUGAAAGGAAGCUGUGGCAUUUCUGCCUUUCCUCCUUAUUAGGAUUGAAGGAGGCAUGCUAAGUACAGACGAUGGCAUCGAAUGCAAGCUGGUAGUACUAAAUAGCAAGACCAAACAUUAAACCUACUAAAAGAAAAAGAGUUUCAUUUUGAUGGGACUCAUUGCUUUAGAUAAUUCAGUACUCAGUCUAACUGGUACGAAGUCACAGAUAUAACAUAGCCUGGGAAGUUAUGCUUUUGAAGGUAGGAAAGAAUCCUUUCGCCUAUAGAAUUUGGAAUCUCCCCGAUGAAACUUCUCUUUCUCACGAAAAAGUCCAAAGUGGUAUAUGCCCUCCCCACACUUCUGCCUAUUUCUCCGUGAAAAUCGCUUUGAUACGAGCAAACUAUUUGACAAAGAAAAUUCUUGAUGGCCUUGAGCUUUUCCACAAGAGGAACCCUAUGGGAAAAAAUAAGAGACAAGUCUCCAAACUCAAAAGAGUUAGCAAGUUUCCUUUCCCUUUCUAUGCCUUGCUUUCUGGCCACUUCUUUUAUUGAAUUGUAAACAAGUCCUCGAUCAUUCUUUUGAAAUCUUCUUUUUCAACUCAUCUAAAGCUUGAUUUCUGUCUUAUGGAACCUUCUCAAUCUUCUUUGACUUUGUUUUGGGGAAGGACUGUACCCCCGUCCGAAGGACUCAUUCAUCCAUAUUCACGACGGCGGAGGACGAGUCUCAUUCCACUAUUCGUUCGAAGGACUAUACAUCCUAUUUCUUUAGGAGGACUUCUUUAUCCAUAUUCAUGAGCCGAAGGACUAUUCAACCUAUUACUUUGUCAAUAUGCCUAUUCUUUUCUUUGGUCUGAAGGACUUGUUUAUAUCCAUAUUAAUCUAUGGAUAAAAGAGGUGCCUAGGUUCAAAGAAUGAUCGCGUCUUAUCUACUUAGAUUAUUACUUUUGAGAUCAAUCAUAUUUCAUUGAUCCUUUCACUCUUUGUACUUGGAUUUGAUUCCAUUCGGAUUGCUCGAAUCUUAGAUAUUAUGUCAACUUCAAUCUUCUUGGAUAGGGUUUUCAACUCCUACGGAGCCUCUCCUCCGGACGUGAAGAAGAAGAUCGACUCUUAUCAAUGAAUAAAGGCGCAAAGAAUUUGCGAAUUUGAGGGGUUGACAGCUGCAAUUACUAAAGCAACUAAAGCUCUUACAACAAACUUUUGAAACCUUUUCAGGAACUACUACUUCCACAGCCAUAGACUCUGACUGAGGCUUCCGCUUCUCUGGGGCUAACUGUUCUUUAACCCUUCUUUUUGAAGAAUCCUACUCCUAACCCAAUGGCCCAUCUCACUACGGCAACUCGGUCUCGUGAAAGCGAUGACGCUGCUGCCUCUUACCUCGUUACUACUGAGAAAUUUACAUUUCAGUAGAAAGAAGAAAUAGCUUUUCCUUUCUCGCAUUUCCCUCAUUUAUCAUAAACGAAAGAAUCUACCCACGGAGCGGUACGGGGUGGGCUUCGGUGGGGUUCCCAACCUUUGGUCUCGGCUUGCCUCCGCUUGUGAUCAGAAUUUAGUGGCAUCUAGCCCCGUAGCGAAACCUGAUCCAUUUUCAGAUGAAAAAGACAUUCAUUCAGGUUGGGUCUGUCUUUCGUUCUUCUUGAAUUUCAUUCAUCAAAUCGUCAGAGCGAAGGGUCAAAGAAUGAUCGAGGAGUUGCUUUCCCUAUGAUAGAAUGGGAUCGACCGAAGUUGAAUCAAAAUGACUGCAAUUUCGAGAGGAUUAGGAGAUAGAUAUCUAAGAACAAAUCAAUGAUUCCACUCUUUGAACAAUCAAUGAACAAGGCUCCAUAAGAGAAAGGGGUAUCGUGAAAGACUAAAUUAAUGAACAAAGGUUGAGGCAUCCUCCGGACUAUGAAUCAUAUAUAUUUUGAUUAAUGUAACCACAUAUGUCUAAUGUUUCUGACUCCUUUGGACUGAGAACAAAGGUCGAGGCGUCCUCCGGACUAUGAAAUCUAUUACAAAGGUUGAGGCGAGACUGAAAGGUCCGAAGCAACUUGACUUAAAAUCAAAGGAGCGGUUAGGAGUUGAGAAGAUAAGAAGAGAAAACAAGUCCUUCGGACUAAGAAGAAUUUGAGAAAAAAGAAAGAGAGAAGAAAAGUUCAUAUGUCCUUAUCAAUGAGACUGAUCGAUGAUCGAUGUUGUUGUCAAAUUCCUUAUAUAUAUGUCUUUUUGAGACUGAUGACAGAAAAGGAAGUGUCACCGAGAGGAACUGGUAUUGAAUCAGAAGAUUAGGCAUACGAGGAUGAUAUGGAGCAAAGCCCGAACUAUCUAUCUAUGAUUGGAAGAAAUGCCUCUCUUCUGAGAAUUAAAGUGGAAUGAGUUCCAUCCAGAGUCAAAUUUGGGAGAGAAGGACCGAAAGGCUUUGACUGAAAUUCCGAGGAAGACCAAGGAGCGGUAGUAGAGGGCCAAGGAAUUCCCAGUUGAGUAAGAGGUUAUCAUACGCGCCUCUUGAACAAGAAAAAAAGCUCUUUCCCUAAUUGAGGGAGAGGAAGAAGAAUAGCAGAGUUCCAGAGAGUAAGCAUAACAAGAAUCGGAAGCAUAAUUGAUGUCUGACCUUCAUUCAUGAAAGAAUGGAAUGUGAAUUUUGCACCUCAGUCUCAAAUCGAGUCAAAUCACAGUCUGAAUUUUCUAGGACCAGUGAACUCAUCACCUUUCUUUUAACCUGGGGACUGAGGAUGAGGAUAGGAGAAGAACUUCUACCAAGAAAAAAUUCAUUACCCCCAUGAAAUCACCCCAUUUUGAUGAUAAGGAAAUUCUAUUAUCAAUCUGACUAGGAAUUCUGACUGAAUUAAGAAUGAGAACUUUCGAUACAUAUUCAAUAGUUCAGUCAGUCGUCUACACCAUACUUUGACGAAGCGAUUUUGAGAUCAGUUGAUAGGAGGCUGCAUCUCCGGGACCGCAGUCCACUAUUGGUGGAGAGCUAGGCGUCCACUUUCUUUGAUCAAAGAAGGUGGGAACUCUCUGACGAUAUUCAAAAAUUCUGAUUAAUCACUCCCCAUAUUUUUAUGAUUUCUAAGACUAUUACAAAAGGGGUCGAGUUCCCACUGGGACUGAGAAAGAUCGACCUAUUUCUUCUUAUUCUAUUAUGAUGAAUAUACGAAAGACGGACCCCUAUGAGUUCGCUCUUGAGGCUAGGGCUAACCUCGUCAACUCAGUAAAGAUCAAUUCCCCAGCUAGGUUGCUUUGGCUACCCUCCCUGAACCUGAAACCUCUAUCAAGCCAAUUCCAAGGCCCAUCGGUUGAGGCCUCCUCAGUCUCGAUCCUGAAGACUGAUUUAUAAGUUGAACGAACUCCUAAACCUCCAAGUCUGAUGAAUGAAAGGCUCAUGAGGUUUGAUCUCAUAUCUAUUUAUGAGGUUCAGGCCUUUGAAAUCUGAUUCUUCGAAUUCUGAUCUUCUUUCUUCUAUCCUCAGUCCUCUCUCUCCUAUCAUCUUUACGGGAAUGAUAUCUAUCUUCAUUCUUGAGAAUUGCUAUAGAUUCUUAGUAUUCAUGGGGGGUGGCGAGGUUGCGUCCUUCUUUUCUUGCAUCCGAACUAGGUUCUGCUAUGGCUUGAAUCCAUGACCCCAUCCUACUCCUUCAUAGAAUAUUGAGAAUCUUUUCAGAAAAGCGAGACCAAGGGUUCUGGCCACUGACCCUACUUCAAUACCAGGCAAUAUCCGCAACCUUGGCUACUUCCUGUGCUCAUUCUCUCAUUCCCUUUCCCAGAUUUCUCCUCACCCUGAUCCGAUUUCUCACGAUCUCAAGGCUCCACGUCCGAAUCCUAUAUGCUUACCCUCUAGUGGACUUCAACUCAAGGGCUCUCGUCUCAUUCAGGAUUCUUCUUGCUAUCCCACCAGUUCUUAUCAAGAAGGAGAGAAAGAAUCUCCUCAGCGGGUAGCUCGAGCGGACUCAGUCUGGGGACUUCAAGAAUGAAAGAGAUUGUCGAUUUUCAAAAAUGGGAAUGAAGUCUAUUAAUCCAGAGGAUGGGGACAUGUCCCCAGGGCCUUAGCCUGAGAUCUUUGGUCCUCUAAAUUGGGUCCAUUUCGCUCCGUGGGAUGAGUAGUUAGUUCUCCAACUUCCAUUGAUUGGGAAUCUUUCUUCGUAGAAUACAGUCUUAGACUGAUUCUCGGAUAUAUCAUACCAUAACAGCUCUGAUCCUAGCACACAUCACCUCGGGCCACCUUAGAGCUGAUACCCUACUGAUCUGCCUUUUCCUAUAGAAUAAGUAGUUGUAUGGGUUGCCUACUUCUUUAUUCAUUUGAGACUAUAAUGAAAGAAAAAGUACUUCUGAUGCCUGGAUCUGGUCCUAAUCUUUCGAUCCUAUUCAUCUAUCUUCUGCUUGAGGGGCUAGGUAAUCUCAUCUGUAACCUCUUCCGAAAGAGAUAGAUCGACCGCUUGAGCUCCGUAGGAGCAGUCUGAUUUUCUUCUUCCCCUCCGAAGGCGCAAAGAAUCUUGCCUUUUCCGUUAGCUUUCUUUUUAUAAUGUAGAUGUAGAAAAGAUGGAACUCAAAGGAGAAAAAGCAACCUUCUUACCAGUUUCAUAGGUUCCGGAAGAGGCUAAGGAAAUCUAGAAGAAUUCUCUCCUUCGUAGAAUAGGACUGAAGUAGAUUAAGACUGCGAGACUGAUUCAUAACCUUGUGUAUUAGAUCUUUUCGAUGUCAGUAAGAAGGCCUAUACAUUGGGUCGGACGUCGCCUGCAUCAUCAAAUAAGUAGGGGAAUGAGAGAGAAGAUGCCUCCUAUCCGACCUCUAGAAAGAGAGAAUACGAGGUCUAAAAGGUGCGACUAAAGGUCAAAAAAGCUUGACCGAUAAUCAAGGUCUGAAUAGGUAAUUCUUCUCAGUGUUAGCGAACGGAACUAUACCCCCUACUCUCUUUCAUUCUUCGUUGAGGAAGGUUAGACACAGCAAAGACGUCAAUAUCUUUGAGUUCGGUCUUGAAGUUAGAUCCGUUUAAUGAGAUCUUUCUCAUGCAAGGAAGUUUUCUUGAAAUUCUUGUAUGCUAACCUCCCGUGUCGUGAAUGGUUCUGGGAUUUCUCUUUCGAAAUGAGAGGAAGGAUCCUGCUCUGCUUCCUCCUCUUAAGGUUCGUGUUGGUCAUGGUCGGUUGGGGAGCUCUCUGUUCUUGGAAGUGAAACCUGAAUCCUGGUAUGGAAUCCAGCCCCCUUAUUCAUUGAUUGUUCAUAUACCAUAUUUUGCAUAAUUGCUUAUAAAUAAGCGCUAGUUCUGACAUCCACUACAUCAACAAGAACUACAACUUCUUAAAGAGAAAGAACUAAAGCAAGAGCGCAAACCUAAAGGCACAGUGCCAGUGCCUACUGCGCCUCCUUCAAUCGCGGAAUAGAAUAUGGAAGAAAGCCCCUAGCAAGAGAACCUUCCUUCUUAUUGGAGAAGAGGAGUUCAAGAGUAGAAAUCAUGGGAUUUCUCUUUCAAAGUGGAGCCUUUUUUUGUAUAAACGGGAUAAAGAUGCUCCGUAGGAGGUUUUGAUGGUAGUCAAGAUUAUGAAAAAGAUUUGAAAAGACUUCAAUGACACAGGUUCAGACGUUUUGAUGAUUGACUUGACUAUUACUUUGAAGAGAAGUUGCUCAAAAGGAGCCUUCUACGCGGCACUACAGAAUUCUGGAAUGAACAGGCUUUUAGUGGAAUUAAGCUAGUUCGAACUCUCAUUGAUAAGGACAUAUAUAUGAACCUCUUCCAUGAAUGAGUCCUUCGCUUUCAGAGUCCUAACCUUUGUAUCCUCAUUAAUAAGGACAUAUUCAUAUUCCACUACGGACCGGACCAGGGACCGGAGCAGUUCAAAGACUAUUAUUUCAGAUGAGAGAAGAGGAGUCAAUGAACAAGGGAGAACAACUCAUCUAGAGCUUUAUUUGACUACGCGGUAAGGCAGAGUAAAGAGUUGACAGACGCAUGCGAAAGGAAGCGACCACUUAUGGCAAGGCACCUAGACCAAGGUUAGAAUAGAAGCCAAGCGCAUUUAUAUAAGUUCAGAAGAAAAGACGUUUUGAUGAUUGACUUGACUAUGAAAAAUAAUAUCAGAAGAAUUAUGGAAUGAACCAAAGAAGAGAAGCUGUUAAUAUGGAUAAACAAGUCGACUCCACAGGAGGCUCCAUAGGAGAUUCUUUGCCGUAGGUAAGACUAUUACAAUCAAUGAUUGAGGCUCAAAGAAUAUUGAGGGAAUGAACGAGUCAAGAGGUUAUAUAAUAUAGAAAGAAGAAAGACAACUCCUUCUACGCAGUCUUGAUAAUUUUCAAAGACGACCUACGACACUACAUAAGACUCUUAUUACGGGGAAGCAAAAGCUGCUCGACAUUACUAAUUUUAAACUGAGUCACUCACUGAGCUUUACAGCUCACCCUUUCCAAAAUGUUUUACCCAUUUUCCAGGUAGAGAUCGAGUUCCCGUUGCCUGAUAGACUGCCUUAGUCUGCUGAAGCUCCAUUAUCGAUUGUAGAAAUCGAGUUCCCGCUGCCUGAUAGACUGCCUUAGUCUGCUGAAGCUCCGUUAUCGAUUCUCGAUGAGAUCUUUUGUACAUCGGGGAAUAGUCUUUACCCAUCGAGUAUCUGAGCCUAAAGUCCAAAGACAAAGGUUGUGGAAUCUAAGUUUGUAUUUGAAGCCAAGUUCAUCCAAGUCAUUGAGUUUCUAGCUUCUUUAAGUUGAUAAAAGAGCAAUUGUACAAAGCCUAAGAAUGUCAUCUGAUCAAGACACAACAAGCUUGAAUUAUUUAGAUUAUUCUAACAAAUUUUGUAACAACGGAUGGUAGGUUGAUCAUUGUGUUGGGUUGAAUGAUAUUAGUGACUAUCUUUUGUGAGAAUACUUAAUCGCAUAAAUAACAUUUUGUAUAGGGCAAUACGAAUCUUUUAUGAAAAUAACAUAAAUAAC